CUGAUAUCCCUGCAGAGUGAAGUCCUCUGUACAUUCACAGAACAGGUAUAGUAAAUGCAGCUGCAGUGCAAGCUUAUUCACAGUGCCCUAGAACCCCGAUUUGGAGGGAUUAUCAUUAGCAGGAUAGUUCAGUCUCAGUGCCCAAUCACUAGACCUGUCCC
rnacentral:sRNA from 1 species